rnacentral:lncRNA from 1 species
UUUUAUAAAUUCAGGACGAGAUUUCAGAUGUUGGUUCUCUUACGUUAUGAAAGAUUUUACCGAUGAGUUACCACAAUUGGGUAGCUGAUUUCAAGUUAGCUCUUGAUUGUAUGUUUCGAAUCAUUACGAUGGAUGGAAGAACUUUUACUGUCAAAAUUAGGAAAGUAGGUUCUUCGUACUUUUUCCACGACGGAUGGUCCAAUAU